UCCAUGGUGACCACAAGGAGAUUUUCUGCCC
rnacentral:piRNA from 1 species